UACGUAGGGCGCAAGCGUUGUCCGGAAUUAUUGGGCGUAAAGAGCUCGUAGGCGGUUUGUCGCGUCUGCUGUGAAAACGCGAGGCUUAACCUCGCGCCUGCAGUGGGUACGGGCAGACUAGAGUGCGGUAGGGGAGACUGGAAUUCCUGGUGUAGCGGUGGAAUGCGCAGAUAUCAGGAGGAACACCGGUGGCGAAGGCGGGUCUCUGGGCCUUUACUGACGCUGAGGAGCGAAAGCAUGGGGAGCGAACAGG
rnacentral:rRNA from 1 species